UCACAUCCUAUCCAUAUUUUUUGGGGAUGUUUUCAACUAAAAUUCUGACAUACUGCACCUUUUAAAGAAUAGACAUGAUACAGAUUUAUCAUGUGGUUUUGUUAGGCCGCCAUCCUGCUAACAACUAGCGAGCGUCGUCACAGAAUCUUUGAAGAGUAAGUGACCCGCUUGAAAUGACCUGCCUCUGCACAGGGGCUUUAUUCAUUUCCAGAUUUCGAAAACAUACUAUGCAGCCACAGGUUUAGCAGCAUUCAACAUAAAGGUCCACCAUCAUCAGAGCUUCAGAUGUCCUUCGCAGUAGUACUUGACAGAAGGACGACUCGCUCUGCGGCGCUGCAUCAAUCAGGCCUCUAUAGUGAAGUUCGUCUGUUGCCUGAAUGUCAAGAACUACUUCAAAUGAAAGCCUGCUUCUAAUGAAGUCCAGGUAAUGCUCAUCACGAAAAAAAACCACAAUCUCCCUAGUGGAUAAUAGCGGUGGCAGAGGCCUCUCCGCUGGGAAAGACUGAGCCUGAGGGAGUGAUGUAUGGGGCCAGAGAGAAAGGUCUUCAAGAAAAUGUUAUCUAGUGCACUCUGACUGGGUCAAAGAUCCACACAUUAUCAUAACAACAGGCAGAGUGACUUAGUCGAGGCCAAGAUCUGUCCUGCUUGUUGUUCUCCAUGAGGAACUGGAAGUUGCAAGAGACAGGUUUUUUUGGUCAGGCUGUAAAUGUGUUGUGGAGGGCAUUUUAUUUUGUUCUCCAAUAUUUAUUCAAUUGAAAAACAACUUAAGUCUUAUGUGUUCAUCUUACACACUUAUUGUUAAUGUCAUAUGUUUAAUGAUUACUAGCAUAUCCGCAGUUGUUAAUGCACUUACAUUAUUGAAAUGUGCAUUGUUAAAGUCCAGUGUGUGUAUCAGUGUUGCCAGAUUGAUUAGAGGCUUUCCAGCCCAAUAAUGAAUAUAAAAAAAAUGCCCACAUUUUACCUAAACAAUACAAAUGAAUUAAACAA